AGAAUUUAUUAAAAUAAAAUGAGAACUUGUGUUGGCUUUAGGAUUUACGUAGGUAGAGGUUUUUUUUUUAGUGAAAGGGUAUUUUGUUUGAAUUUUUUACAUCGGGUUUUAUAACCAAAUCCCAAAUGGUAUGUUUACUUUGAAGAAAAGGGAUGGAAUCGGCUAUGGUUGAUAGGCACAUUGCACAAUUUUGUUGCUGCUAUAUGGGCUGAAGAGCAUACAAAAAAGUGGAAAUUGACAAUUUGACUGUGAACUAUGAAAUAUCAAAUUAGACGAUUCGGCCCAGAAAGGGAGAUCUUGCCCCCAAACUUAACCUCGCAAUAAAUCAUAUCAUAUAAAUAAUUUUCUAUUGGAAAAAGUAAAAAUCUCUGUAUAAUUUGUUCAAAACUCGUUUCAACUUUCUCAUGGAAUUACCCCUCUACUUGAAACAUUUUUAUACAAAAAUAAAAACAAAUAUGUAUUAAAUUACCUGAGUUACUUCCGAA